GACGAACGCUGGCGGCGUGCCUAAUGCAUGCAAGUCGCACGCAGCACUCUUCGGAGUGCUGAGUGGCGCACGGCUGAGGAACACGUGGGCACCUGCCCGCGCGUGGGGGAUAACCCGGCGAAAGCCGGGCUAAUCCCGCAUACGCUUGGCUCCCAAUAGCCAAGCAAAGCGGCAACGCGCGCGCGGAGGGGCCUGCGGCCCAUCAGGUGGUUGGCGGGGUAACGGCCCACCAAGCCGGUGACGGGUAGCUGGUCUGUGAGGACAACCAGCCAGACUGGGACUGAGAGACGGCCCAGACUCCUACGGGAGGCAGCAGCAAGGAAUUUUCCCCAAUGGGCGCAAGCCUGAGGGAGCAACGCCGCGUGCAGGACGACGGCCUUCGGGUUGUAAACUGCUUUUCGGAGGGACGAGAGUGACGGUACCUUCGGAAUAAGCCCCGGCUAACUCUGUGCCAGCAGCCGCGGUAAGACAGAGGGGGCCAGCGUUGUCCGGACUAACUGGGCGUAAAGCGCGCGCAGGCGGUCGGAGGCGUCGGUGCUGAAAAGCUCCCGCUUAACGGGAGACGGCGUGCCGAUACGCUUCGACUGGAGGGCGGGCGAGGGUGGUGGAAGUGCCGGUGUAGUGGUGAAAUGCGUAGAGAUCGGCUCGAACACCAGUGGCGAAGGCGGCCACCUAGCCCGCCCCUGACGCUGAGGCGCGACAGCGUGGGGAGCGAACUGGAUUAGAUACCCAGGUAGUCCACGCCGUAAACGAUGCCGACUCGGUCUUCGUGGAGCGACAAGCUCCGGGGGGGCCCGAGCUCACGCGCUAAGUCGGCCGCCUGGGGACUACGAGCGCAAGCUUAAAACUCAAAGGAAUUGACGGGGGCCCGCACAAGCAGCGGAGCGUGUGGUUUAAUUCGACGCAACGCGCAGCACCUUACCCAGGCUGGACAUGGAGCUGCACAGCGGGGAAACCCGCUGGCCUUCGAGGGUGCUCCACAGAUGCUGCAUGGCUGUCGUCAGCUCGUGUCGUGAGAUGUUGGGUUAAGUCCCGCAACGAGCGCAACCCCCGCGGCCAGUUACACGUGUCUGGUCGGACCGCCCUUCGGGGAGGAAGGCGGGGAUGACGUCAAGUCCGCAUGGCUCUUACGUCUGGGGCGACACACACGCUACAAUGACGCCGACAGUGCGAGGCGAAGGAGUAAUCCGAAGCGAAUCGCCAAACGGCGUCCCAGUGCAGAUCGGGGGCUGCAACUCGCCCCCGUGAAGGCGGAGUUGCUAGUAACCGCGUAUCAGCCACGGCGCGGUGAAUACGUACCCGGGCCUUGUACACACU
rnacentral:rRNA from 1 species